AAGGAAAACUUGACUUUAGGCACAAGUGUGGCUGUCUGGUAAAAAGUUUGCUUCCCAACCACAUGGUUCUGGGUUCAGUUCCAAUGUAUGGCACUUUGGGCAAGUGUCUUCUGCUAUAGCUUUGGGCUGACUGAAGCCUUGUGAGUGGAUUUGAAGAUGGA